rnacentral:tRNA from 1 species
UCCCUGGUGGCUCAGCUGGUAGAGAAUCUGCCUGCAAUGCAGGAGACUUGGGUUUGAUCCCUGGGUUGGGAA